UACGGAGGGUGCAAGCGUUAUCCGGAUUUACUGGGUUUAAAGGGUGUGUAGGCGGACAUGUAAGUCAGUGGUGAAAUCUCCGGGCUCAACCCGGAAACUGCCUUUGAUACUAUAUGUCUUGAAUAUCGUUGAGGUAGGCGGAAUAUGUCAUGUAGCGGUGAAAUGCAUAGAUAUGACAUAGAACACCGAUUGCGAAGGCAGCUUACUAAACGAUCAUUGACGCUGAGGCACGAAAGCGUGGGUAGCGAACAGG
rnacentral:ncRNA from 2 species